UUACGGCCAUAUCACGUUGAAACAUCGGUUCCCGUACGAUCACCUAAGUUAAGCAACACCGACACUGGUCAGUGCUUAGAUGUUUGACCGCUUGGGAAUACCAGAAGCUGUAAG